rnacentral:tRNA from 1 species
GCCGUUGAAGCACAGUUGGUAGAGCAUGGUGCUUUUAACGCCAGGGUUGUGGGUUCAAUUCUCACUGGGCA